AUGCAGAUCUUUGUCAAGACCCUCACAGGCAAGACUAUCACUCUUGAGGUCGAGAGUUCAGAUACCAUUGACAAUGUUAAAGCCAAGAUUCAGGACAAGGAGGGCAUUCCUCCGGACCAACAGAGGCUCAUAUUUGCUGGCAAGCAGCUAGAGGAUGGCCGAACAUUGGCUGAUUACAACAUCCAAAAGGAGUCUACCCUCCACCUUGUUCUCCGCCUGAGAGGUGGGAUGCAGAUCUUUGUGAAAACUCUUACCGGGAAGACCAUAACUCUAGAGGUUGAGAGUUCGGACACUAUCGACAAUGUCAAGGCAAAGAUCCAGGACAAGGAGGGCAUCCCACCAGACCAACAGAGGCUCAUCUUCGCUGGCAAGCAGCUUGAGGAUGGGCGCACAUUGGCUGAUUACAACAUUCAGAAGGAGUCUACCCUUCACCUAGUCCUCCGCCUCCGUGGUGGCAUGCAGAUAUUUGUCAAGACACUAACUGGAAAGACCAUCACUCUUGAAGUGGAGAGCUCCGACACCAUUGAUAAUGUGAAGGCCAAGAUCCAGGAUAAGGAAGGUAUCCCGCCUGACCAGCAGAGGCUCAUCUUUGCUGGAAAGCAGCUCGAGGAUGGGCGUACAUUGGCGGAUUACAAUAUCCAGAAGGAGUCUACUCUUCACUUGGUUCUCCGCCUACGUGGUGGCAUGCAGAUUUUUGUCAAGACGUUAACUGGAAAGACCAUUACUCUUGAGGUGGAGAGCUCCGACACCAUCGAUAAUGUGAAGGCAAAGAUCCAGGACAAGGAGGGAAUUCCUCCUGAUCAGCAGAGGCUUAUCUUUGCAGGGAAGCAGCUGGAGGAUGGGCGUACCUUGGCAGAUUAUAACAUCCAAAAAGAAUCCACUCUUCAUCUUGUCCUGCGCCUCCGUGGCGGCCUUUAA
rnacentral:rRNA from 1 species